UACGUAGGGUGCGAGCGUUAAUCGGAAUUACUGGGCGUAAAGUGUGCGCAGGCGGCUGCGCAAGUCGAGUGUGAAAUCCCCGAGCUUAACUUGGGAAUUGCGCUCGAAACUACGUGGCUGGAGUAUGGCAGAGGAAGGUGGAAUUCCACGUGUAGCGGUGAAAUGCGUAGAGAUGUGGAGGAACACCGAUGGCGAAGGCAGCCUUCUGGGCCAAUACUGACGCUCAUGCACGAAAGCGUGGGGAGCAAACAGG
rnacentral:rRNA from 1 species